UUAACCUGAAUUGGUUGAUGCCAGUAUCAGAUCAACUGAUCAUCAAAGAGACAUUUUAAAACUUUCAAUGAGCAACAUUUUCUGUAUUACUUGGGGUUGUAUGAUUGGGAGGGUGUGUCCUCUAGCUCUGAUUCGGAUCAGGCUAAAUGUUUUACCGCUCUGUUUAACUCUAUUGCAGUUAAGCAUGACCCAUAUAAGAGAUUAAGGGUAAAGGACAGAUCUAACCGAUGCUUCACGCAUGAUUUGUCUGAAAGAUUUCAUGAAAAUAAUCACAGUUGAGGCUAAGGCUAGAUUGACUGAUUCUACCUCUGAUUGGCAGUCCUUCAGACAUUUGAGAAAUCAAAUCAAAUUCUAUUUGUCGCGGAAAACAACAGCUGUAGAACUUACGUGACAUGCUUACUUCCAAACCCUUAAAACCUCUUAAGGAUUGGCCCCUUUUUUUCAAUUUUCACCUAAAAUGACAUACCCAAAUCUAACUGCCUGUGGUCAGGCCCUGAAGCAAGGAUAUGCAUAUUCUUGGUACCAUUUGAAAGAAAACACUUUGAAGUUUGUGGAACUGUGAAAGGAAUGUAGGUUAUUAGAUCUGGUAAAAGAUCAUACACAUUUUUUUUCAACAAUUGUUUUGGUAUUUUCUUGUACCAUCAUCUUUGAAAUGCAAGAGAAAGUCCAUAUUGUAUUAUUCCAGCCCAGAAUAGAAAUUAACCAACAAUGCAAAAAAAAAAAUUCAAGUAAGAAUUUGUUUAUUAAAAAAAUACAAAACUAAAAAAAAAAAAAUGAAAAAAAAUGAACAAUAAAAUAAUGAGGCUAUAUACAGGGGAUACCGGUACGCAGUCAAUGUGAGGGGGUACAGGUUAGUCGGUGUAAUUGAGGUAAUAUGUAAAUGUGGGUAGAGUUAUUUAUUGAUAAGCUGUAUGCAUUGAUAAUAAACAGCGAGUAGCAGCAGCAUAAAAAAGGGGGUCAAUGCAAAUAGUCUGGGUACUGUUUAGCAGUCUUAUGGCUUGGUGGUAGAAGCUAUUAAUGAUCCUUUUGGACCUAGACUUGGUGCUCUGGUACUGCUUGCGGUGCGGUAGCAGAGAGAACAGUCUAUGACUAGGGUGGCUGGAGCCUUCAACACCUUUUAAGGGCCUUCCUCUGACACCGCCUGGUAUAGAGGUCCUGGAUGGCAGGAAGCUUGGCCCCAGUGAUGUACUGGACCAUACGCACUACCCUCUGCAGCAUCUUGCAAUUGGAUGCAGAGCAGUUGCCAUUCCAAGCGGUGAUGCAACCAGUCAGAAUGCUCUUGACCUGCUCCACUACAGUCCCAUCAAUGUGAAAGGGGGUGUGCUCGGCCCUCCUUUUCCUGUAGUCCACGAUCAGCUCUUUUGUCUUGCUCAUGUUGAGGGAGAUGUUGUUGUCCUGGCACCACACUGCCAGGUCUCUGACCUCCUCCCUGUAUGCUGUCUCAUUGUUGUCGGUGAUCAGGCCUACCUACCACUGUUGUGUCAUCGGCAAACUUAAUGAUGGUGUUGGAGUCGUGCGUGGCCAUCUUGGGUGAACAGGGAGUAUAGGAGGGGACUAAGCAUGCAUCUGAUGCAACCCUUUGUCUUACCAGAGGUUGAUGUUCUUGCCAAUGCACAGAAAAGCCAG
ensembl:lncRNA